rnacentral:rRNA from 1 species
UACGAAGGGGGCUAGCGUUGCUCGGAAUCACUGGGCUUAAAGCGUGCGCAGGCGGUUUUGUAAGCCAGAUGUGAAAUCCGGGGGCUCAACCUGGGAAUGGCAUUUGGGACUGCAAGGCUCGAGUGCGGCAGAGGAGACUGGAAUUCCUGGUGUAGCAGUGAAAUGCGCAGAUAUCAGGAAGAACACCAAUGGCGAAGGCAGCUCUCUGGGACGGUACUGACGCUGAGACGCGAAAGCGUGGGGAGCGAACAGG